UACGAAGGGUGCAAGCGUUAAUCGGAAUUACUGGGCGUAAAGGGUGCGUAGGCGGUUAUUUAAGUCUGCCGUGAAAUCCCCGGGCUCAACCUGGGAAUGGCGGUGGAUACUGGAUAGCUAGAGUGUGUCAGAGGAUGGUGGAAUUCCCGGUGUAGCGGUGAAAUGCGUAGAGAUCAGCAGGAAUACCCGUGGCGAAGGCGGCCCCCUGGGCCGAACCUGACGCUGAGGCGCGAAGGCUAGGGGAGCGAACGGG
rnacentral:rRNA from 1 species